rnacentral:rRNA from 1 species
GACGGGGGGGGCAAGUGUUCUUCGGAAUGACUGGGCGUAAAGGGCACGUAGGCGGUGAAUCGGGUUGAAAGUGAAAGUCGCCAAAAAGUGGCGGAAUGCUCUCGAAACCAAUUCACUUGAGUGAGACAGAGGAGAGUGGAAUUUCGUGUGUAGGGGUGAAAUCCGUAAAUAUACGAAGGAACGCCAAAAGCGAAGGCAGCUCUCUGGGUCCCUACCGACGCUGGGGUGCGAAAGCGUGGGGAGCGAUCCGG